rnacentral:rRNA from 1 species
AGGCCUUAACACAUGCAAGUCGAGCGGCAGCGGGAGGAAGCUUGCUUCCUCGCCGGCGAGCGGCGGACGGGUGAGUAAUGUCUGGGGAUCUGCCCGAUGGAGGGGGAUAACCACUGGAAACGGUGGCUAAUACCGCAUAACGUCGCAAGACCAAAGUGGGGGACCUUCGGGCCUCACACCAUCGGAUGAACCCAGAUGGGAUUAGCUAGUAGGUGGGGUAAUGGCUCACCUAGGCGACGAUCCCUAGCUGGUCUGAGAGGAUGACCANNNANACUGGAACUGAGACACGGUCCAGACUCCUACGGGAGGCAGCAGUGGGGAAUAUUGCACAAUGGGCGCAAGCCUGAUGCAGCCAUGCCGCGUGUGUGAAGAAGGCCUUCGGGUUGUAAAGCACUUUCAGCGAGGAGGAAGGUGGUGAGCUUAAUACGCUCAUCAAUUGA